GAUGAACGCUGGCGGCGUGCCUAAUACAUGCCAGUCGAGCGAACAGACGAGGAGCUUGCUCCUCUGACGUUAGCGGCGGACGGGUGAGUAACACGUGGAUAACCUACCUAUAAGACUGGGAUAACUUCGGGAAACCGGAGCUAAUACCGGAUAAUAUAUUGAACCGCAUGGUUCAAUAGUAAAAGACGGUUUUGCUGUCACUUAUAGAUGGAUCCGCGCCGCAUUAGCUAGUUGGUAAGGUAACGGCUUACCAAGGCAACGAUGCGUAGCCGACCUGAGAGGGUGAUCGGCCACACUGGAACUGAGACACGGUCCAGACUCCUACGGGAGGCAGCAGUAGGGAAUCUUCCGCAAUGGGCGAAAGCUUGACGGAGCAACGCCGCGUGAGUGAUGAAGGUCUUCGGAUCGUAAAACUCUGUUAUUAGGGAAGAACAAAUGUGUAAGUAACUAUGCACGUCUUGACGGUACCUAAUCAGAAAGCCACGGCUAACUACGUG
rnacentral:rRNA from 1 species